rnacentral:pre_miRNA from 1 species
CUUCUACUCCCUCCGUUCGGAAUUACUUGUCUCGGAAAUGGAUGUAUCUGGAACUAAAAUACAUCUAGAUACAUCCAUUUUCGCGACAAGUAAUUCCGAACGGAGGGAGUACUUU